GGCGGCGUGGGCGGGGCGGGAGGACCGGGCGGCUGCGGGCCGUCGGGGCCCAGCGCCGAGACGAGCUGCGUCGGUACGUAACCACCCGCCGGCGC
rnacentral:tRNA from 1 species